rnacentral:rRNA from 1 species
GACGAACGCUGGCGGCGUGCUUAACACAUGCAAGUCGAACGGAAAGGCCCUGCUUUUGUGGGGUGCUCGAGUGGCGAACGGGUGAGUAACACGUGAGUAACCUGCCCUUGACUUUGGGAUAACUUCAGGAAACUGGGGCUAAUACCGGAUAGGAGCUCCUGCUGCAUGGUGGGGGUUGGAAAGUUUCGGCGGUUGGGGAUGGACUCGCGGCUUAUCAGCUUGUUGGUGGGGUAGUGGCUUACCAAGGCUUUGACGGGUAGCCGGCCUGAGAGGGUGACCGGCCACAUGGGGACUGAGAGACGGCCCAGACUCCUACGGGAGGCAGAAGUGGGGAAUAUUGCACAAUGGGCGGAAGCCUGAUGCAGAAACGCCGCGUGCGGGAUGACGGCCUUCGGGUUGUAAACCGCUUUCGCCUGUGACGAAGCGUGAGUGACGGUAAUGGGUAAAGAAGCACCGGCUAACUACGUG